rnacentral:rRNA from 1 species
GAUGAACGCUGGCGGCGUGCCUAAUACAUGCAAGUCGAACGGAGAGAGGAGAUUUCGGUUGAAUCUCUUAGUGGCGAACGGGUGAGUAACGCGUUCCCCGGUGACCUGCCCCGAAGAGGGGGAUAACAGCUCGAAAGGGCUGCUAAUACCCCAUGAGAUCUACCCGGUUAGAGGAGGUAGAUGAAAGGAGCAAUUCGCUUCGGGAGGGGCCUGCGUCCCAUCAGCUAGUUGGCAGGGUAACGGCCUACCAAGGCUACGAUGUUUAGGGGACCUGAGAGGGUGAUCCCCCACACUGGUACUGAGACACGGACCAGACACCUACGGGUGGCAG